rnacentral:sRNA from 1 species
GCCAGUCACAGUGACGCAUGCCUGUAAUCCCAGCUGCUCAGGAGGCUGAGGCAGGAGGAUCACAAGUUCAAAGCCAGCCUCAGUAAAUGUGAGGUGCUAAGCAACUCAGUGAGACCCUGUCUCUA